rnacentral:rRNA from 1 species
AAUAGAUACCCAGGUAGUCCACGCCGUAAACUAUGGAUGCUAGCUGUACGAGGUAUCGACCCCUUGCGUAGCGAAGCUAACGCGUUAAGCAUCCCGCCUGUGGAGUACGGUCGCAAGACUAAAACAUAAAGGAAUUGACGGGGACCCGCACAAGCGGUGGAGCGUGUUGUUUAAUUCGAUGAUAAGCGAAGAACCUUACCCAGGUUUGACAUCCUACUAAUCACUCCGAAAGGAGAGAGUGCCUUCGGGCCGUAGUGACAGGUGCUGCAUGGCCGUCGUCAGCUCGUGUCGUGAGAUGUUUGGUUAAGUCCAUCAACGAGCGCAACCCUUUUAGUUAGUUGAAUUUUUCUAGCUAGACUGCCCUGGUAACAGGGAGGAAGGAGGGGAUGAUGUCAGGUCAGUAUUGCCCUUACACCUGGGGCUACAAACACGCUACAAUGGCCGGUACAAAGGGCUGCCAACCCGCGAGGGGAGCAAAUCCCAUCAAAGCCGGUCUCAGUUCGGAUAGCAGGCUGAAACUCGCCUGCUUGAAG